ensembl:snRNA U6 U6 spliceosomal RNA
UUGCUUCAGCAGCAAAUAUACUAAAAUUGGAACGAUAUAGAGCAGAUUAGCAUGGCCUUGUGCAAGGAUGACACGCAAAUUGGUGAAGUGUUCCAUGUUUUU